rnacentral:rRNA from 1 species
UAGGGAAUCUUCGGCAAUGGGGGGAACCCUGACCGAGCAACGCCGCGUGAGUGAAGAAGGUUUUCGGAUCGUAAAGCUCUGUUGUUAAGGAAGAACGAGUGUGAGAAUGGGAAGUUCAUGCUGUGACGGUACUUAACCAGAAAGGGACGGCUAACUACGUGCCAGCAGCCGCGGUAAUACGUAGGUCCCGAGCGUUGUCCGGAUUUAUUGGGCGUAAAGCGAGCGCAGGCGGUCAAUUAAGUCUGAUGUGAAAGCCCCCGGCUCAACCGGGGAGGGUCAUUGGAAACUGGUUGACUUGAGUGCAGAAGAGGAGAGUGGAAUUCCAUGUGUAACGGUGAAAUGCGUAGAUAUAUGGAGGAACACCAGUGGCGAAGGCGACUCUCUGGUCUGUAACUGACGCUGAGGCUCGAAAGCGUGGGUAGCAAACAGG